rnacentral:piRNA from 1 species
ACCGACUGAAGGCAGAAAGAAGCCC